rnacentral:rRNA from 1 species
CCUACGGGGGGCAGCAGUGAGGAAUAUUGGUCAAUGGCCUGAAGGCUGAACCAGCCAUGCCGCGUGAAGGUCAGUGCCCUUUGGGCGUUAAACUUCUUUUGUGCGGGAGCAAUCAUGGUCACGUUUGGCCAGAAGAGAGUACCGUUCGAAAAAGCAUCGGCUAACUCCGCGCCAGCAGCCGCGGUAAUACGGAGGAUGCGAGCGUUAUCCGGAUUUAUUGGGUUUAAAGGGUGCGUAGGCGGGCUGUUAAGUCAGCGGUAAAAGCCCGGGGGUCAACCCCGGCGAGCCGUUGAAACUGGCUGUCUUGAGAGGGCGAGAGGUAUGCGGAAUGCGCAGUGUAGCGGUGAAAUGCUUAGAUAUUGCGCAGAACUCCGAUUGCGAAGGCAGCAUACCGGCGGCGAUCUGACGCUGAGGCACGAAAGCGUGGGUAUCGAACAGGAUUAGAUACCCGAGUAGUC